rnacentral:rRNA from 1 species
GACGAACGCUGGUGGCGUGCCUAAUACAUGCAAGUAGAACGCUGAAGGAGGAGCUUGCUUCUCUGGAUGAGUUGCGAACGGGUGAGUAACGCGUAGGUAACCUGCCUGGUAGCGGGGGAUAACUAUUGGAAACGAUAGCUAAUACCGCAUAAGAGUAGAUGUUGCAUGACAUUUGCUUAAAAGGUGCAAUUGCAUCACUACCAGAUGGACCUGCGUUGUAUUAGCUAGUUGGUGGGGUAACGGCUUACCAAGGCGACGAUACAUAGCCGACCUGAGAGGGUGAUCGGCCACACUGGGACUGAGACACGGCCCAGACUCCUACGGGAGGCAGCAGUAGGGAAUCUUCGGCAAUGGACGGAAGUCUGACCGAGCAACGCCGCGUGAGUGAAGAAGGUUUUCGGAUCGUAAAGCUCUGUUGUAAGAGAAGAACGAGUGUGAGAGUGGAAAGUUCACACUGUGACGGUAUCUUACCAGAAAGGGACGGCUAACUACGUG